AACGAACGCUGGCGGCGUGCCUAACACAUGCAAGUCGAACGAGAAAGCGGGCUUCGGCCCGCCGGUACAGUGGCAGACGGGUGAGUAACACGUGGGUAACCUGCCCGGAGGUGGGGGACAACUCUCCGAAAGGAGAGCUAAUACCGCAUGACAUCCGCGGAGCGACAGCUCUGCGGAUCAAAGCUAGCCUCUACAUGUAAGCUAGCGCCACCGGAGGGGCCCGCGGCCCAUUAGCUAGUUGGUGAGGUAACGGCUCACCAAGGCAACGAUGGGUAGCCGGCCUGAGAGGGCGAUCGGCCACACUGGAACUGAGACACGGUCCAGACUCCUACGGGAGGCAGCAGUGAGGAAUUUUGCGCAAUGGGGAAACCCUGACGCAGCGACGCCGCGUGGAGGACGAAGGCCUUCGGUCGUAACUACCU
rnacentral:rRNA from 1 species